UGGAUUGGCCUGAGGGCAUGUCUGGGAGGA
rnacentral:piRNA from 1 species